rnacentral:rRNA from 1 species
AGCACUCUAGCGAGACUGCCGGUUAACCGGAGGAAGGUGGGGAUGACGUCAAAUCAUCAUGCCCUUAUGUCUAGGGCUACACACGUGCUACAAUGGUGAGGACAAAGAGACGCAAGACCGCGAGGUGGAGCAAAUCUCACAAACCUCAUCCCAGUUCGGAUUGCAGGCUGAAACUCGCCUGCAUGAAGCCGGAGUUGCUAGUAAUCGCGAAUCAGCAUGUUGCGGUGAAUACGUUCCCGGGCCUU